AUUGAACGCUGGCGGCAGGCCUAACACAUGCAAGUCGAACGAGUGGCGGACGGGUGAGUAAUGUCUGGGAAACUGCCUGAUGGAGGGGGAUAACUACUGGAAACGGUAGCUAAUACCGCAUACCAUCAGAUGUGCCCAGAUGGGAUUAGCUAGUAGGUGGGGUAACGGCUCACCUAGGCGACGAUCCCUAGCUGGUCUGAGAGGAUGACCAGCCAAACUGGGACUGCGACACGGACCAGACUCCUGCGGGAGGCAACAGUGGGGAAUUGUGGACAAUGGGCGCAAGCCUGAUCCAGCCAUGCCGCGUGUCUGGAGAAGGCCUUCGGGUUGUAAAGGACUUUUGUCAGGGAAGCGGUACCUGAAGAAUAAGCACCGGCUAACUACGUGCCAGCAGCCGCGGUAAUUC
rnacentral:rRNA from 1 species